AAUCAACGCUGGCGGCGUGCCUCAGACAUGCAAGUCGAACGCGAAAGUUCCCUUCGGGGGAUGAGUAGAGUGGCGCACGGGUGAGUAACACGUAGGUAAUCUACCUUUGGAUGGGGAAUAACAACCGGAAACGGUUGCUAAUACCGCAUAAUGCAGCGGCACCUAAUGGUGACAGUUGUUAAAGCGGGGGAUCGAAAGACCUCGCGUCUGAAGAGGAGCCUGCGGCGGAUAGCUAGUUGGUAAGGUAACGGCUUACCAAGGCGACGAUCCGUAGCCGGCCUGAGAGGGCGGUCGGCCACACUGACACUGACAUACGGGUCAGACUCCUACGGGAGGCAGCAGUCGGGAAUUUUGGGCAAUGGGCGAAAGCCUGACCCAGCAACGCCGCGUGAAGGAUGAAAUCCCUCGGGAU
rnacentral:rRNA from 1 species